rnacentral:rRNA from 1 species
GACGACGCUGGCGGCGUGCUUAACACAUGCAAGUCGAACGGACGAGUGAGAUAAGUUACUUAACUCACAAGUUAGUGGCGGACGGGUGAGUAACACGUGGAUUAAUCUACCUGCAACACCGGGAUAACGCUGUGAAAACGGUGCUAAUACCGGAUACGUUCCCUUGUGCGCAUGUAUGAGGGAAGAAAGCUCAGGCGGUUGCAGAUGAGUCCGCGGCUGAUUAGCUAGUUGGUGAGGUAAAGGCUCACCAAGGCGAUGAUCAGUAGCCGGCCUGAGAGGGUGAAACGGCCACACUGGGACUGAGACACGGCCCAGACUCCUACGGGAGGCAGCAGUAGGGAAUAUUGCGCAAUGGACGGAAGUCUGACGCAGCGACGCCGCGUGAGCGAUGAAGGUCUUCGGAUCGUAAAGCUCUGUCCUUGGGGAAGAAGGCGAAAGCUUGACGGUACCCAAGAAGAAAGCCCCGGCUAACUACGUG